rnacentral:misc_RNA from 1 species
AACGCACAUUGCGCCCCUUGGCAUUCCGAGGGGCAUGCCCGUUCGAGCGUCAUUUCACCAAUCAAGCCUGGCUUGGUGUUGGGCCCCGGGGGCGACCCGGACCUCAAUGUCCCGCCGGCCGGUCGACCCGGACCCCAGCGUUGUGGCACACGAAUUCGCUGGCGGGGAAGGGCGGCCGCGCCGUCAGAAACUCAAAGGUUGACCUCGGAUCGGGCAGGGAUACCCGCUGAACUUAA